AAAUUGAAGAGUUUGAUCAUGGCUCAGAUUGAACGCUGGCGGCAGGCCUAACACAUGCAAGUCGAACGGUAACAGGAAGCAGCUUGCUGCUUCGCUGACGAGUGGCGGACGGGUGAGUAAUGUCUGGGAAACUGCCUGAUGGAGGGGGAUAACUACUGGAAACGGUGGCUAAUACCGCAUAAUGUCGCAAGACCAAAGAGGGGGACCUUCGGGCCUCUUGCCAUCAGAUGUGCCCAGAUGGGAUUAGCUUGUUGGUGAGGUAACGGCUCACCAAGGCGACGAUCCCUAGCUGGUCUGAGAGGAUGACCAGCCACACUGGAACUGAGACACGGUCCAGACUCCUACGGGAGGCAGCAGUGGGGAAUAUUGCACAAUGGGCGCAAGCCUGAUGCAGCCAUGCCGCGUGUAUGAAGAAGGCCUUCGGGUUGUAAAGUACUUUCAGCGGGGAGGAAGGUGUUGUGGUUAAUAACCGCAGCAAUUGACGUUACCCGCAGAA
rnacentral:rRNA from 1 species